rnacentral:tRNA from 1 species
GCUGGGAUGCAAUGGCAAUCGAGUUUCUACCUCGAGGGUUAAGGGUUCGAGUCCCUUUUUCGGCU